CCAAGCACCUCACAUGUGGCCAGCACUCCAAACUCACGGACGCAGCCCACUCUCGCGGAGACUCACCGCACGUGGCCAGAAAUACCAAAAUAGGACGCACCUCUGCACUUAUAAAAAGAGCUCUUCAGUGGACAGACAAUUCCAAUUCUAAUUCGGCAAUUUCGCAGUCCGGCGCAAGGACCUGAUUUGUAACCCAAAGAACACCUCAUCGCAGAUCUGAAAAAAAAAAAAGAGUGAAGAUCACUUUUGCACAGGAGCACCUUCUGCAACACAUUCGGCCGCCGAACAUCAUCCUCAUUCGGCCGCCGAACAUCUCACCAAGGCACAGUCACCAUCGCAUAUCUGAAUCAUGGAUGAGGUUCAAGCAUCCCAGCCACCAAGGCCAUGUAGGAUCUGUGGAUAUGUGGGACACCAACUGAUCAAUGUUCUACACUUUAUCAGUAUGACCAACCAGUGCAUGCGUUUGAAAUAUUCAAUAGUCAGGCUAGACAUGCAUAUGGAGGAUUCUAUGAACAGCCAAGACAUGAUCAAUACUAUAACACAUACAAUCCAAGUUGGGGAGACUAUCCAAACUUCAGUUAUGCAGAGGCUAACAACUACCAGAAUUAUCAAGGAUAUCAAGUCCAACUAGCACCUCCAAAUUCCACCCAGCACCUUGAAAAGAUGAUGGAGUCCAUGGGAAGAGAGCCAGAAAGAGCCAGAACUGAAAGAAACUGAUUGUUGCAUCCAACAGGUGGACU